rnacentral:rRNA from 1 species
GAUGAACGCUGGCGGCGUGCUUGAUACAUGCAAGUCGAACGGAGAGUGUAGCAAUAUACUCUUAGUGGCGAACGGGUGAGUAACGCGUUGGUGACCUGCCCCGAAGCGAGGGAUAACAGUUCGAAAGAACUGCUAAUACCUCAUGUGAUCACCGGUUUUAGAAUCUGGUGAUUAAAGGUGAAAAUCACUUCGGGAGGGGCCUGCGUCCCAUCAGCUAGUUGGUAGGGUAAUGGCUUACCAAGGCGAUGACGGGUAGGGGACCUGAGAGGGUGGCCCCCCACAAUGGAACUGAAACACGGUCCAUACACCUACGGGUGGCAGCAGUAGGGAAUAUUGCAAAUGGGCGAAAGCCUGAUGUAGCAACGCCGCGUGUGCGAUGAAGGUCUUCGGAUUGUAAAGCACUUUUUGGAGGGAUGAGGAAGGACAGUACCUCCAGAAUAAGCCUCGGCUAACUACGUG